rnacentral:lncRNA from 1 species
CUUUGGAUGCUCGAAAAUGCAGAUCCCCAGCCGGAGUCUUUAGAUGAACUCGUUGAGUUCUACGCUUGUUAACUGCUCGCUCUCAAGCUCAAGGGUGCAUGGUAAUAUUAAAUUGGUGGCGUGGGGUGGGGUGAUUCUGUGAGGUCACCUGCAUGGUAAGAAAAAAGAAAAUCGCUGUAAAUGAUGUAAUUGUAAUAAUAAUGAUAUGAUUAGCGGUGUACUUAUAGAUGAUAAAAGAUACAUAGUAGAGAGUGGAUGAACGGUGAGGAAUUAACCCAUGUAUUUUUACACCGGCUAAUCGCUAGGCCUGGUGAGAGACCGAGGGAGAUCAAAUCAUUGAUCUAUUGUUCUUAUUUAUUUAUGUAUUCAUUGUUCUUUCUUUUUUCACAUUAAUUAAAUUAAUAUAAUUGUGUGUUCAUUUUUUAUGAUUUUCCUUUAAUUUUUUUUUAGAAACUGUUGUUCUUCAAUAAUUAUUCUAACGAUGUUGCUUUAAGGUGAUGUUGAUACAGCCACUUGGGCUUGUAGCCAAGUGGUGAGCUAUUGCCUUCAAAGUUAAGCAUGACUAUGAGGGCAAUGGUUCGAAUCCUCACGGACUCAACCUCCCUUAAUUAAACAUAAUUGUGUGGAGAUUUCUAAUAACGUUUUUCUCCCUUGCGAAAUACAGGUGGAGUAGAGACAUCCCUUCUCCGUCAGAGGUAUUUGGCUGGGCAUGUACUUCAUAGAAUAAAAAAUGUAAUAAUAUAAGUCUCAUGUAUAUAUUUGAUUGUAAAUAUCAGUGUAAUGACUUACUGUCAUAGCAGUUGUAUAUAUCUCUGUGUAAUACAAUAAUCUGAUAUUUAAUCAAUAAAAAAAAGGUGAUGUUGAUACGGGAGUUGAUGAGUCUUUAUCAGAAACAAAAAUUUACAAAAAAAAUUAUAUUAAAAAAAAGUACAUCAAAUAUUGGGCUCCCCCAAGUUUUACAUUUGUCUUCCAUAAUGAGACAAGCCCUUUUUUCAAGUGAAGACUUUUGAAGUACAAUUUGUAAAGGAAAUUUGCCCCAUAUAAUUUUCCUUUCUACAACCUGCAAGCUUAUGUAAAUCAUAUCAACUUAAAAGAUUCCAAGAUUUGGUAUUUUGGUAAUGAUUAAGUCUCAUUCACACUAAAGAAAACACACAGUCACAUUAUGGCUUUAUUUACAGUGGCAUAUGAUAGUAUAUUUUGUCUUAGUUUAACUCUGCUUUUUAAUAGAAUACAGACGACCAUUUACCUAAAACUAAAAUGAGAAGUUAAAAAGCUCUCAACUUUACCUGUUAGUAUGAAGAUAUACAAAAUCUCCAUGCAAGUGUCAGUGCUUGGUUUUGAUUGUAACGUGACAUCAACCCCAGUGACUUGAGAUAAGUUAUAAAUUAUUUUGUUGUGUACAACAGAAACAGCAAAUCUUUACCAAAAUAUUUUCGCAGUUGUGGGUGCAAAUGGGGCCUCGGUUUAAAAACUACCUUAUCAGUGAAGUAGAAUAAAAAAAACACCAAAUUCUAUUAUAAAACAACUAAAGGGAUUAGUGAUAGAGAAAAUAUGAAAAUGGCGAAUUUUUUCCAGAAAAUUUAAACGCAAGGGUAGCUGAAAAGAGUGCGGACGGACAGCAAGAAGUCAACAAACUGUGGAAGAAACCAAAUUAAACCCUAAUCAGCAAACUUCAAAAGAGAGAUUAGACUAAUUACGAAAUUGAUUUUAUAAUAUUAUUCUUGAUCUAUGUAUGAAUGACAAGUGUAAUAGUUUAGAAUACUAAUGAUUAGGUUGUUAGGGAGAUUCUUCUUUAAUUUUGAAUAAGUCGUCGAGAUAUGCCUACGCACACGCUUUAAACAAUUGUUUAUAUACUUAAGCUAAAUUUUGUUUAAUUUUGUUGUUGGUUAGGCACAACUUUUUAUAAGUGGAGGACACGAAGUUUUGUCAAUGCAAGCAUUAGCACUACCUGAAACGCGGUUACGCGGUGCCAAGCUGCCAAUAUGGCCACCCGUAAAGCUCUGCUGCUCUCCUUUUGCACACCA